rnacentral:rRNA from 1 species
CCUACGGGAGGCAGCAGUGGGGAAUAUUGGGCAAUGGGCGCAAGCCUGACCCAGCAACGCCGCGUGAAGGAAGAAUGCUUUCGGGUUGUAAACUUCUUUUAAGAGGGAAGAGCAGAAGACGGUACCUCUUGAAUAAGCCACGGCUAACUACGUGCCAGCAGCCGCGGUAAUACGUAGGUGGCAAGCGUUGUCCGGAUUUACUGGGUGUAAAGGGCGUGCAGCCGGGAAGACAAGUCAGAUGUGAAAUCCCGCGGCUCAACCGCGGAACUGCAUUUGAAACUGUUUUUCUUGAGUACCGGAGAGGUCAGCGGAAUUCCUUGUGUAGCGGUGAAAUGCGUAGAUAUAAGGAAGAACACCAGUGGCGAAGGCAGAUGACUGGACGGCAACUGACGGUGAGGCGCGAAAGCGUGGGGAGCAAACAGGAUUAGAUACCCGUGUAGUC